AUGACAUGUAAUACAUUUAUCAUUGUUGUAUCUUUGUGUUUAUUUGCUUUAAUUGAUUCAUUUGUUUAAUUUUUGUAAUUCUAAUUUUGGCUAAAUUAAGUUUGAUUUUGUUGAGUUCCAACGGCGUCUGUCUUUUAUUUCGAAAAAUCUUCCGUUUUCGAGUCACCAACUGACGGAGUUCCUGGAGGAGGAGGACGCUUAGAGAAGAGUGAUCUCCUACACCUGAACGGAGACUUUUCUUACAGAGCACUGGGAACAAAGACGGAUUUAGAAGAAAUAUCACAAAAGGAGAUGAUGGAGAACAUCGUUAAAGUGGACCGCAGAUUCUUUCAGAUGAGAGUCAGAAACGUUAUGAUUAGGCACUUUCUAGACGCCGUAGACGAGAUUACAGUUCUCCGCUUGGACAACUCCACCUUGAAAAAACAGCUGGAAGCCUUGAAGAAGGUCAAUAGUGAAGAGCCGCAGGUUGAGGUCGAGCCCUGCAUGUGCUCUGCAGCCGAUGUCAACAGCUGCACUGAAAGAAAAGUUCAUGAUUUGGAGAAGGAAGUCAGCGAGUUAAAAGAACAAAAUAAACAACUAACUGAGCUGAUCAAAAUACUAGCAGGAGAAGACAUGAUGCCUUUAAGCACAAUCAGAGCAAUCUGUCAAAACCUGAAGGUAACAUCAUCAUUUAUAACACAUGGUCACUAACUGAAAAUGAAAAGAAAGUGCUUAAGACAUACUACGACAAGUAUGAGACCUACGUCAUGCCCAAAGCUAACAUAAUUUUUGCUCGUUAUAAAUUCCACUAAAAGGUCCAGGGAGCAAAUGAGGCAUUGGAACAGUUUGUAACAGACCUGAGACUUCUCGUAAAAGACUGUGCUUAUACAAACAGUGAAGAGAUGGUCCGUGAUCGAAUAGUGUUCGGCAUCCAUUCACCCAGCGUGAGAGAAAAACUACUGAGCGUUGGAUCCGAACUAACAUUGGAUAAAGCUGUGGAUAUUGCAAGGUCACAUGAAAUAGCUAAGGCACAAAUGAAGACCAUCUCUAGCAGCAGCAGCAACACGCGUGAGGACAUCGUACAUGCUGUUGGACAACAAGCAUCAAAGAAUCCACCUCGGAAAGACUGGCAAUUUAAAAAAAAAUACUCAGCCACGGACAAGCUACGGGAAAACACCGGAAUGCCGAGAGGAUGCGGAUAUUGUGGAAACCGACACGGUAAUGAGGAAAGAUGCCCGGCUAAAGGUAGGCAAUGCAAAAGCUGUGGAAAAUUGAAUCAUUUCUCAAAAGUGUGUCAUUCCAAACAAAACAGAUCACAGAUCACAAUACUAGCAGGAGAAGACAUGUCUUUAAGCACAAUGGAAGCAAUCUGUCAAAACCUGAAGGUAACAUCAUCAAGGGCUUCGUUUAAUUCUAUGCACUCAUACAUGUCAGUUUAACUGUUGCAGGUUAAAGACACACUAAGAUGAAAGUUGUGUUUUUGGUCUUUUAAAUAUAUUCUUGAGGCAUUUUUCAGAUGUUUGAAAACUUAAGGAUAAAAUUGAA